CUUCACUAUGGGAUUGUUUAAGUUUUAAUACAUAAAUAUGCUUUCUGGUACCCCAGGAAUGUUAGCUGUGGAAAUAAGCAAUGUUUCCUUCAUUUGUGGAAUUUUCUUUUUAUUGAACUAAUAACAGCACUUAUUUUCUACAGCAUAGAGUAUGGCUUCAGAAAAAGAUAAGCCCUGAGUAUGCAGUUAGACUUUGUGAGACACACAUGCACACAAGUAUAAUUGUAAGCCCUGGCCCCCACUCUCCAUAUCCCCUGAGGAAAGUCUUUCCUUACUGGCUUCCAGAGAGUCUUCCUGCACAGAGACCAUCACUCACCUGGACUCAGGUUGAACUUCAGAGCCUUGAUAGGAAACACAGUACCACAAGCCAGAACAGUUGCUGUCUUCUCUUAGACUGUGACUUUGAAAUAGUUGCUUUCUGGAAUUCUUUUCUUCUAAAAUGCUUUCUGGUCUCCAUUUUAGAAUAUGAUCAUCAAAGAUCUUAACCACAUUUUUUAAAAAUUAGACAAUCUUGCAAACCCUUUAAGUUCAAAACUAUUCCUAGAGCAAAGCUGGUGUCAGUGAAGAAAAGGUAGAGAAAUAUUUUGUUGCAAAGAUACGAUUAACAAUAGCCCAAUCCCCAACCCUGUAUCUCCAUUAUGUUUUCAGUGCAAACUAUUUCUGCUAAUGGUCUACAUAUGAAAAACAGAUUCUUUUUUUAAUGUUUUUUGUAGUUUUAGAUGGACAGCAUGACUUUAUUUUGUUUGCUUAUUUUUGUAUGUGGUGCUGAGGCUCAAACCCAGUGUCUCACAUGUGCCAGGCAAGCAUGCUGCCACUGAGCCACAGCCUCAACCCAAGAUUUAAGUAAAAUUAAUUAAACUGAUCACCUGUUUGCUUCUUUAAAUGAGUGACUCUAACCUGGAAGUUUUGCAUAUUUGCUAACUUAUAUGCUUGUAGUGCACAAAAAAUUUUGAUUUUAGAGUGGUAGUAUUGUAACUUCAAAUAUGUAUGUAUGAUUAAUUUACAUAUUUAAAUUUUAGUUGGAUCUCAGUCACAUUUCUGAAAAAUAUCCAGCAAUUAGAAUACCAAAAGGAAAUUCAAUUUGGCAAAUUAAGUUAGAAAUGUCAAAAAUAAAUAAAUAAAUAAAAUGUAACCUGGGAGAAAAUUCUAGGAGGUAAUACUUAAACAAAUGUUUUCACACACACAAAAAAAAGGCAAAACUUCAAGAUAGGUUUGGAAAUUUCAAAGUAGACAUUAGCAAGUUCGGGAAGAGGAAUUUAAACUGGAAACUCAGGACCUGAGGAAAGUGAGUGGGUUUGCAGUCUGUGGGUGCUUGAGAAAAGUCUUGGAUAUACUGCUUAUUCCACUAAAAUAAAAUAAGAAGCAAGAAGACAAGCUCAUAAUGUUAGUGCUAUUAGUCUGGUGACAAUAUUUCCUUAAAAAUUAGUGUUUAUCCAGGAUGGGACUAGGUUUCAGCCGUAGCAUACUUGCCUGGCAUGUGUGAGGUACUGUUUUUGAUUCUCAGCACUGCAUAUAAACAAAUAAAGGUCUAUCAACAACUAAAAUAUAUAUUUUUUUAAAGUGUUUAACCACUCAGAGAAGCCAACACACCUGCUUGGUUCAGUUCCGUUUUAUUCAGACAGUAGAGACCUAACCUGUUUUGUGUUUAACUGUGAAUUGCUGUACAAAAAGUUGUACUAGGUAUAUGACACACAUUGAAAACUUUUCUCAAUAGCUGUUGGAAAAGGCUAAGCUAAUUUGUCUAGCUUAACUAUUUAGGAAAAGAUCAUUAAUGUAUUUGUUCAGGAUUGGGGGAAAAAAACAUUUUGGGUAUCCUGAAAACAAGCAAAAUACUUAAUAAUAAGAGCCUUAGAUCCAUGACCAUCUCAUUUAUAUCUAUUAGUAUUUUGACUUUAAGUUGCCUGAAGAAGGGGCUGGGGAUAUGGCUCAAGCCGUAGCACGCUCGCCUGGCAUGCUUGCAGCCCAGGUUCAAUCCUCAGCACCACAUACAAACAAAGAUAUUGUGUC
rnacentral:lncRNA from 1 species